CAAACAUUUUUCUUUUUCUAACAAUUUUAUCCACGGAGUACCUACAAUCUACAUACUAAAUAAAAAUUACGUAAAAAAAAACUCACUAAAUUAAAAUGUCAUAAAUAACUCACAUAUUUUUAAAAUUAUACCACAUCUAGAAAAAGCAAAUAUGAGAUUUUCUCUAAAUUUCAAGUCUCUAUGAAUAUUUUUAACUGAAUUAUAACAAAAAAUAAAAUUGAAAAUAAUAUAAUUUUUACAUUUUUCGGUUUUCUUACGUUUUUUCCCGGUUUUUCUCAAUUAUUAUGAAUAUCACUUGGAUAAUCAAAUACUUUUUUAAAGUUCCAACUUUAAAUCCCAAAUUUAUUAUUCCUUAACUCCCUCCCUUGCCCUUGGAUUAAUCGUAGAUACAAUAUUAAUAUUUAGAUAGUAGGUAUAGACGUAUUUUCUGUUUUUCUUUUUCAAACAUAUUUUUGAGUGUUGACGUCAAAUUACCGAGUCGAUUGAAUA